AAAAGUAGUUUUCGUCUGGUGACGAUAGCAAGAUGGACACACCUGUACCCAUACCGAACACAGAAGUUAAGCAUCUUAACGCCGAUGGUACUUGGUUGGUAACGACCUGGGAGAGUAGGAAGUUGCCAGGC
rnacentral:rRNA from 1 species